rnacentral:rRNA from 1 species
AAUGAACGCUGGUGGCAGACCUAACACAUGCAAGUCGAACGAUUUAUAAAACUUCGGUUUUUAUAAAGAGUGGCAAACGGGUGAGUAAUGCAUGGGAAUCUACCUAGAAGUUUGGGAUAACUAUUAGAAAUAGUAGCUAAUACCGAAUACACCCCGAGGGGGAAAGUUGACUUUUAGUCUUCGCUUUUAGAUGAGCCCAUGUUAAAUUAGUUAGUUGGUGGGAUAACAGCCUACCAAGACGAUGAUUUAUAGCUGGUCUUAGAGGAUGAUCAGCCACACUGGAAUUGAGAUACGGUUCAGACUCCUACGGGAGGCAGCAGUGGGGGAAUAUUGGACAAUGGCGCAAGCCUGAUCCAGCCAUACCGCGUGGGUGAAGAAGGGCCUUCGGGUUGUAAAGCCCUUUUGUUGGGUAAAGGAAAUCCAGCCGGCUAAUACCUGGUUGGGAUGACGGUACCCAAAGAAUAAGCACCGGCUAACUUCGUGCCAGCCGCCGCGGUAAUU